rnacentral:piRNA from 1 species
UGUUGUCAGUAUUGACAGUCCAAGACCUAC